rnacentral:rRNA from 1 species
UACAGAGGGGGCGAGCGUUGUUCGGAAUUACUGGGCGUAAAGGGCGCGUAGGCGGCCCGCUAAGUCGAACGUGAAAUCCCCAGGCUCAACCUGGGAACUGCGUCCGAUACUGGCAGGCUUGAAUCCGGGAGAGGGAUGUGGAAUUCCAGGUGUAGCGGUGAAAUGCGUAGAUAUCUGGAGGAACACCGGUGGCGAAGGCGGCAUCCUGGACCAACACUGACGCUGAUGAGCGAAAGCCAGGGGAGCAAACGGG